UACGUAGGGGGCAAGCGUUGUCCGGAAUCAUUGGGCGUAAAGGGCGCGUAGGCGGCCAUUCAAGUCGGAGGUGAAAGCCCAGGGCUCAACCCUGGAAUUGCCUUCGAUACUGUUUGGCUAGAGACCGGAAGAGGUAAGUGGAACUGCGAGUGUAGAGGUGAAAUUCGUAGAUAUCAGGAAGAACACCCGUGGCUAAGGCGGCUCUCUAGUACGGUACUGACGCUGAGACGCGAAAGCGUGGGGAGCGAACAGG
rnacentral:rRNA from 1 species